AACGAACGCUGGCGGCAUGCCUAACACAUGCAAGUCGAACGAGACCUUCGGGUCUAGUGGCGCACGGGUGCGUAACGCGUGGGAACCUGCCCUUAGGUUCGGAAUAACUCCCCGACAGGGGUGCUAAUACCGGAUAAUGUCUUCGGCCCAAAGAUUUAUCGCCCUUGGAUGGGCCCGCGUUGGAUUAGCUAGUUGGUAGGGUAAAAGCCUACCAAGGCGACGAUCCAUAGCUGGUCUGUGAGGAUGAUCAGCCACACUGGGACUGAGACACGGCCCAGACUCCUACGGGAGGCAGCAGUGGGGAAUAGUGGACAAUGGGCGAAGGCCUGAUCCAGCAAUGCCGCGUGAGUGAUGAAAGCCUUAGGGUUGUAAAGCUCUUUUACCCGGGAUGAUAAUGACAGUACCGGAAGAAUAAGCUCCGGCUAACUCCGUG
rnacentral:rRNA from 1 species